rnacentral:tRNA from 1 species
GCGGAUGUAGCUCAGUUGGCAGAGCACGACCACGCCAUGUGCCAUGGGGGUCGGGGCCACGAGUUCGAGACUCGUCAUCCGCUCCA